rnacentral:rRNA from 1 species
CAGCAGCCGCGGGAAUACGAAGGGUGCAAGCGUUACUCGGAAUUACUGGGCGUAAAGCGUGCGCAGGCGGUUAUAUAAGACAGAUGUGAAAUCCCCGGGCUCAACCUGGGAACUGCAUUUGUGACUGUAUAGCUAGAGUACGGCAGAGGGGGAUGGAAUUCCGCGUGUAGCAGUGAAAUGCGUAGAGAUCGGAAGGAACAUCUGUGGCGAAGGCGACUAUCUGGGCCAACACUGACACUGAGGCACGAAAGCGUGGGGAGCAAACAGGAUUAGAUACCCCGGUAGUCCCUGUCUCUUAUAA